rnacentral:misc_RNA from 1 species
UACGGGAGGCAGCAGUGGGGAAUUUUGGACAAUGGGAAACCUGAUCCAGCCAUCCGCGUGUGCGAUGAAGGCCUUCGGGUUGUAAAGCACUUUUGGCGGGAAAGAAACGGCGCAGGAUAUGCCCGUGCAGCGGCAGUACCUGCAGAAUAAGCACCGGCUAACUACGUGCCAGCAACCGCGGUAAUACGUAGGGUGCAAGCGUUAAUCGGGAUUACUGGGCGUAAAGCGUGCGCAGGCGGUUCCGGAAAAGAAAGAUGUGAAAUCCGACUUAACUGGAACUGCAUUUUUAACUACCGAGCUAGAGUGUGUCAGAGGGAGGUGGAAUUCCGCGUGUAGCAGUGAAAUGCGUAGAUAUGCGGAGAACACCGAUGGCGAAGGCAGCCUCCUGGGAUAACACUGACGCUCAUGCCUGAAAGCGUGGGGAGCAAACAGGAUUAGAUACCCGGUAG